rnacentral:rRNA from 1 species
AAUGCCUAGGAAUCUGCCUGGUAGUGGGGGAUAACGUUCGGAAACGGACGCUAAUACCGCAUACGUCCUACGGGAGAAAGCAGGGGACCUUCGGGCCUUGCGCUAUCAGAUGAGCCUAGGUCGGAUUAGCUAGUUGGUGAGGUAAUGGCUCACCAAGGCGACGAUCCGUAACUGGUCUGAGAGGAUGAUCAGUCACACUGGAACUGAGACACGGUCCAGACUCCUACGGGAGGCAGCAGUGGGGAAUAUUGGACAAUGGGCGAAAGCCUGAUCCAGCCAUGCUGCGUGUGUGAAGAAGGUCUUCGGAUUGUAAAGCACUUUAAGUUGGGAGGAAGGGUUGUAGAUUAAUACUCUGCAAUUUUGACGUUACCGACAGAAUAAGCACCGGCUAACUCUGUGCCAGCAGCCGCGGUAAUACAGAGGGUGCAAGCGUUAAUCGGAAUUACUGGGCGUAAAGCGCGCGUAGGUGGUUUGUUAAGUUGGAUGUGAAAUCCCCGGGCUCAACCUGGGAACUGCAUUCAAAACUGACUGACUAGAGUAUGGUAGAGGGUGGUGGAAUUUCCUGUGUAGCGGUGAAAUGCGUAGAUAUAGGAAGG